CAAGAAAUCUGAAAGCUUAUCACAAUAUCCCAAUCUUCUGAUCAAGAUGAAUUUCAAUUAUUUUAUUUUAGUGGUCUUUUUCAUAACAUCUGGACAUGCCAAAAGUGAAACUAGAGACGUUCAGCAAGAUGAGGCAGAAAACCAUAUUAAAAGAGGAUCAAACACAGGAUUCAAUUUUAAGACUUUGG